rnacentral:rRNA from 1 species
GCUACGGAGGCAGCAGUGAGGAAUAUUGGUCAAUGGACGGAAGUCUGAACCAGCCAUGCCGCGUGCAGGAUGACGGCUCUAUGAGUUGUAAACUGCUUUUGUACGAGAAUAAUAGUUCUUACGUGUAGGGCUUUGCAUGUACCGUAUGAAUAAGGACCGGCUAAUUCCGUUCCAGCAGCCGCGGUAAUACGGAAGGUCCGGGCGUUAUCCGGAUUUAUUGGGUUUAAAGGGAGCGUAGGCCGCAUGUCAAGCGUGCUGUGAAAUGUCCGGGCUCAACCCGGGCCUUGCAGCGCGAACUGGCGUGCUUGAGUCCGCGGAAGGCAGGCGGAAUUCGUCGUGUAGCGGUGAAAUGCUUAGAUAUGACGAAGAACCCCGAUUGCGAAGGCAGCUUGCUGCAGCGGAACUGACGCUGAUGCUCGAAAGCGCGGGUAUCGAACAGGAUUAGAUACCCUGGUAGUC